UACGUAGGGGGCUAGCGUUGUCCGGAAUCAUUGGGCGUAAAGAGCGUGUAGGCGGUCCGGUAAGUCCGCUGUGAAAGUCGGGGGCUCAACCCUCGAAUGCCGGUGGAUACUGUCGGGCUAGAGUGCGGAAGAGGCGAGUGGAAUUCCUGGUGUAGCGGUGAAAUGCGCAGAUAUCAGGAGGAACACCCGUGGCGAAAGCGGCUCUCUGGAACGGUACUGACGCUGAGACGCGAAAGCGUGGGGAGCGAACAGG
rnacentral:rRNA from 1 species